rnacentral:rRNA from 1 species
AGCGAACGCUGGCGGCAGGCUUAACACAUGCAAGUCGAACGGCCCUUCGGGGCAGUGGCGGACGGGUGAGUAACACGUGGGAACGUGCCCUUAGGUUCGGAACAACACAGGGAAACUUGUGCUAAUACCGGAUGUGCCCUUUUGGGGAAAGAUUUAUCGCCUUUGGAGCGGCCCGCGUCUGAUUAGCUUGUUGGUGGGGUAAAGGCCUACCAAGGCAACGAUCAGUAGCUGGUCUGAGAGGAUGGCCAGCCACACUGGGACUGAGACACGGCCCAGACUCCUACGGGAGGCAGCAGUGGGGAAUAUUGCACAAUGGGCGCAAGCCUGAUGCAGCAACGCCGCGUGAGGGACGACGGCCUCGGUU